CAGGCAUUCAUCAAAUGCAGAAAUACUCAAAUACUUUACAAGAAACUGAAAAUGUAUUCCAACUAAAAAAUUGUGUUGUAUAAUAUUUUUUAAAUGGCAAUAGAAACAAUGCAGAGAAUACGGGGGUUUUGCUGGUUUUGUUUUGUUUUGUUGUUUUUUGAAGAUAGGGCCUCUCUCUGUCACCCAGGCUGGAGUGUGGUGGUGCCAUCCUGGCUCACUGCAGCCUCGACUUUCUGGGCUCAAGCGAUCCUCCCACCUCUGCUUCCCCAGUAGCUUGGACUACAGGUGCAUACCACCACAACCUGGCUAAUUUUUGUACUUUUUAUAGAGAUGGGGUCUCACCAUGUUGCCCAGGCUGGUCUCGAACUCCUGGGCUCAAGAUAUCCUCCUGCCUCAGCCUCCCAAAACUGGGAUUACAAGCAUGAGCCAUGGCCCUCCGUAAACAAUGCAAAUAAUUUGAUAUGUUGGAGACUCUUGGAAAGCUUUAAUGAUAUGACAAGAAAUUUGCCUUUUUUUCCCCCAUGCCUUUCCUCUCAACCGUCCUCAUUUCAGAAAGCUUCCUAAAUUAUAUGAAGUGGUUUAAAGUUCCUGUCACUCUGCUAAGCAGGGCACAAUACAUCAUGGUGCCAGGCCCUGCCCAGCUUGUCCGUGGUGGGGCCUGUGUAUCCCCCAGCCCCCGGCGGGCGGCCUGUCACGCACACUAGCUGCUUCCUGAACACCUUGUGCCCCUUCCCCUGAGAGGCCCUUUAGGACACGGGUUCCUCUGGCAAGAAUGUCCUCUUCCUCCCCUCCUUUGUGCCAUUCAUUUCUUCUCCUGCCUCCAAGCUCCAUUAACAUCAUUCCUAUAAGUCGUGUUUCAAUUUCCAAAGUCUUGCUUUGUCGUCCAGGUUAGAGUGUAAUGGCACUAUCUCAGCUCACUGCAAUCUCUGCCUCCGAGGCUCAAGUGAUUAUCCUGCCUCAGUCUCCUGAGUAGGAGUAGCUGGGAUUAAAGGCGCCUACCACCAUGCCUGGCUAGUUUUUGUAUUUUUAGUAGAGACGGGGUUUCACCAUGUUGGUCAGGUGGGUUUUGAACUCCUGACCUCAAGUGAUCUGCCCGCCUCUGCCUCUCAAAGUGCUGGGAUUACAGAUGUCAGCCACCAUGCCCAGCCCCUCCAGUAUUUUCUUUUAUAACAAAGGCUCUCAUGCCCAUGCAGGAACAGGGAGUAAGAUAAGAAGUCAAGAGUUGGCACUCCAAUUUGUCUAAGCAAUUAUGCUGUUUCAGCUUACAACAAUUCCAAGAGAUAAUAAUGCUGGUCUCUAUUAAACAGCUAAGGAAUCCACAGCUUUGACCCUUAUGUCACACAACUCAGGAGUCUCCAGGGUCUCCCCCAGGCCUCUGUGCCUUGCAGCCACGUCCCCAUCACACAGGUGUACACCCUUCGCUGUGGACUCCAAAAGCCUGCUGUGCUCUGGUUACACAUUAAUGACCUGAGGCUGUGGCCUUCUGCUACCCUAGAAAGUGGGUUUUGAAAUUCUUCCAGCACAAUGAGUCCUUCACAUGCUAGACCAGUCCAGCUGACAGGUGCCCAGCCUGGAACAGCACGCAGCAGGCUUUUGCUUAUACGAGAGAGAAAAACAGACAACAGGGCUUUGUUAGAGUGAAUUCUAGUUGCCUAUCUCAGAUGUUGUAAUGUGGUUCAAGAAAGGACCUGAAGAAAAGACGCCGAGAUUGUCUUCUGUACUUCGAAAAAUGGUAUAAGCAGGGGAAGCUGGUGAGAGAGAAUUUGAAAAUAAAUAGCUGGAUGUACCUGCUGCUGGGUGACACCUCAGUGAUGUGUGCAGCACCUGUUACCUCUGGACUGGCUUUAUGGUGAUAUAAAAUCCUGUUCUGUGACAUGUGGCUGGUGUUAUUCACUUUGUAAUUCUUUGGGGAAGCUUUCCUUUGCUGACUUCCAUAACUCAAAUGGACAAAUAGGUGGAAAGGUGGUCAGAAGACUGUUGCUGAAGUGCUGAUUCUGUCACUAGAGUCUCCUAGAACCCCAUCUUUUUGUCUAUGAAGCUGACACCAUAAUCUUCCUCCUAAAUCUCCCCAAAAGGCCAACAUCAUGAUUGGAUUGGACGCCGGGUCCUGCUGCCCCAUGCUGAGGAGUGAGGCCUGUGUGGAGAAGUCACGUGUACAUCGAUUCGCAAUGCCAAGAAGUCUCGUCUCUGAGGCAGAACCUGCAUUCUCGGCAAGCCGUGUACAGACUUGCAGUGUUCACAGCAGGCAUGUGAAGCAAGCACACAGAAUGUUUGAAUAAAUAUCAGUGACUCCCCAUAAGGGACUGAAAGAAGUAUCCAGAUGGAAUGAUUGGGUUGGUUUUCCACACCACCUAUGCCCAGAGACCCACCUUCCCUUCUCCACCAUGGUGGAUAACAGCCCCAGGGGCCCCUCCCAGUGCCCAUGGCCCCCGUCCGCCCACCUGCCCUCUGCAGCCCCCUUCUGGGUCCUCUCCUGCACUGCCUUGUUGGGGGGUUUGAGGCCAAGAACAACUGAUCACUUGCCUUUGAAUUCUCACAGUGACAUAAGCUGAAUACAGAGUAGAAACUCCAUAAAGGUUUACUGGACAGAAAUAACAUAAAGUUUUAACUGGUGGGCUCAACAAACAAGGCACGUCCUUUGUCUUCUAUUAAAUCUUUCAAAUAUUUGAUGCUUUAUUAACAUUUCACAAUGAAAACGUUGACAAUAAAUCUUAUUUAUAACCAUUCCUAAGAAACCAGGCUAUAAAAAAAAUGAGCUUUUUCCCUCCUUGCAUUUCAAAUUUCAUGUGCCCAUAAUUUAAACCAAAUUCUAUUUCGACUGCCUGUUUCUUAAUCCUAAUAAUGUAAAUAUUUUCCUACGCAUAAUAAUUUUUGGAGUAUUCUGCCCGUCAUUUAAAAUUAUGCUACCCUUCCUAUUAGGCACAAACUAUCUUUCAAGACCUCCCUGGAAAUAAUGUUUUAAUAUACUACAAUUGAGUUUAAAUUGUCAAAUUCAAUUAUUAGAGCCAUUUCUUUACUAUUUGAGCAAGUUUUGACAACUGUAAACUUUGCGACCUAAACAUAAAACAUGACAACUGAUUAUAACAUGAUCUCAAAUGUACCCCCGUUCUCCGGUUUCAUUAAAAUAUUA
rnacentral:lncRNA from 1 species